AAAUUAAAAAACGAAAGUAAAUUUCUAACAACGCCCUGAUUAACACGACUUGAAUCAAAUCAUUUGUUUAUAAAAAAAAUUCUGUUCAUUGAGGGCCCUAGUUUUCUGUGAAUUGAAUUGGCUGUAAUUUUCAGAGCACAUGAACCUUGAUAAAUGUGUUGACUGUCACCUUGCAAAACCCAGAUUAACGUAACAGAUGCAAAAUCUGAUCGGUGAAGAUAAGAAAACGGAGACCAUGGGAAUUCUUCUAGUCCUGUUUACAGCUUCUUUAUGCCUCUACCUUUUCGUUGCUUUGCUCAAUGUUUUCUACAAGUAUUGGUGGAUACCUCAACGGGUACAGUUCGCCAUGAAUUCACAGGGAAUCAGAGGACCUCCUUAUGAAUUUAUCCAUGGAAACAACAAAGAAGCUGCCCAAAUGCUCAUGGAAGCAUCUACCAAACCUAUGGGCUUGACACACGAUAUAUUUCCCAGAGUCGUGCCUCAUGUUUACUCCUGGAUCAACAAAUACGGUGAGAAUGUCUUUUUUUUCUUUUUUGGGUAGUAUUUUCUGAUUAACCUCCACUUUCCAUGAAGAGAAAUCACUUUCUUUCAGGGAGCACUUUUCUUAGUUGGAAUGGAAUUCGAGCUCAACUGCAAAUUACAGACCCAGAUCUGGUCAAAGAGGUCCUUAAAAACAGUGACAAAGCUUUUCGAAAGCCAAAGACUUCAUAUUUCUUCGUCAAGCUAAUAGGCGAUGGGCUUGCUUCAACCGAACGUGAGAAAUGGGCAAGGCAAAGGAAACUGGCCAAUUAUGCCUUUCAUGGGGAGAGCUUAAAAGUAAAUCAUCUCUACCUUCUAAUCUAAUUAUUGUAGUGGACAUUUACAAACUUGAUAAUUUUUUGCAGAAUAUGACUCCAGCAGUAGUUGCUAGCGUUGAAACCAUGCUUGAGAAAUGGAAAAGUAAGGAGGGCAAAGAGAUAGAAGUGUUCCAAGAGUUCAGAUUAUUGACUUCAGAAGUGAUAUCCAGAACCGCCUUUGGUAGCAGUUACUUGGAAGGGGAGAAGAUUUUUGACAUGCUGAUGAAGUUGACAGUAAUUGCAGGCAGAAAUAUUUUUAAAGCAAAGAUUCCCAUCAUCAGGUAACUUCAUCAAAUCUUUACUUUGUUAAUCAACAUACUUCAGCUUACAAUGGGUUGAUUUAAUCUGGUUGUCCUUUUCAGCAAGUUUUGGAAAUCUGCUGAUGAAAUUGAAUCAGAAAGAAUUGCCAAAAUGAUACAUGAUUCUGUGAUGAGGAUUGUUAAAAAAAGGGAAGAGAGAGUAGUGAACGGAGAAGCUGAUAACUUCGGUCGUGAUUUUCUGGGAUUACUUAUAAAUGCUUAUCAUGAGGCGGACCAGAAAAACAGGCUUUCGAUUCAAGAUUUGGUAGAUGAGUGUAAAACUUUUUAUUUUGCUGGGCAAGAAACAGUCAAUUCCUUGCUGGCAUGGGCAACUCUGCUUUUAGCAAUACACACCGAUUGGCAAGACAAAGCAAGAGCAGAGGUGAUUGAGGUCUUUGGUAAUCAAAACCCAGAUUCUGAAGGGAUGGCCAAAUUAAAGACGGUAAGCAAACUAUACAAAUUCAAUAGCUUGAAAACUAACACUGACCAUUUAUAUUGCCUUUUGGAUUUUUUUUUUCUCCAACAGAUUACCAUGAUUAUCAAUGAAACUUUACGGCUCUAUCCUCCUAUAAAUCGCGUGAUAAGAGAAGUAGGAAGAGAAGUCCAAUUAGGAAAACUUGUCCUGCCUACUCAUUCAGAGGUCGACAUGCAAAUCAUAGCACUUCACCAUGACCCUGACUUAUGGGGAGAUGAUGUUAACCUUUUCAAACCAGAGAGGUUUGCUGAAGGGAUAGCGAAAGCUACUAAGUACAAUGCAGCUGCAUUUAUGCCUUUUGGAUUGGGACCUCGAUCUUGCGUAGGCAUGAGCUUUGCAAUCACUGAAGUGAAAACUGCACUUUCCAUGAUUCUGCAACGCUAUACUUUCACCGUCUCCCCUACCUAUGUUCACGCACCUGCACCACGUCUUUCACUCAAGCCACAACAUGGGAUUCAGUUGUUGUUUCAUUCACUACAUUAUGAUGCUUAAAAUUCUAGGCUGUUGGUCUCCAAUAUUGUAAUAUAUAAUAAAAUGUGGAUGAUACUGUAUUUUGCAACCAUACGAUGAUAUAUGGUUUGGGGAUUUCAUGUUUUGGCAACAAGAUUAUAUGCUUUUUGUUGUUGUUGAUAUUGUUAAAGGUUAAAAAGGUAUUACAGCAAACAUCGCCACCGCAGGAGCAGGCCCUACGGUCCACCAAAGAGAAAUCAAUUCAAACUACCCCAAAAAGCUGGAACGGCAGCAGCAAAUCGAGUCAGCUCCCUGAACAUCAUACAGCAACACAGAAAGAAGAACAUCACAACCCAGUCAUAUACACGCCAUGAAGACAUUGGACUCCACAUUUUGCUAAAGUAUCAGCAAAGCAGCUAGAUUCUUUAUACACAUUCACAAUGGAGACAUUAUGGGAUCUCAUCACAGAGCUUAGAAUAUGACCCAUCCAGCAUUUGAGAAACAGUGAAGAUGUCAAGUCCAGGAGCUCCAAACAAUGCCUUGGCCGCUGGAUCCUAUAAUUAGGUGUCUUUCUUCCAUUACUACUGCAGUAGUGAAGUUUUUAUUCCACUUGGUUCCCAUCUUCCAGAGUUUCUGCUUGAAACACUCACUCCUGGAGCCGGCCAUUACAUUGCUUGUUAGCUUUCAUGGAAGGCUCGAAGCUCAUUAGACCAGAAACAUUGUUACUUUGCCUAUGUAUCUAUUUGACAUAUUCUCUUAAGGAAGAGCUACUUAUAUCAAGGCUCCAUCUUUCUGAGUUGCAGGGCAAAAGUCCGUUCUCCAUGCAAAACUACCCAUUUCCACUAAAGCACACUAGCUUUCGCCAUCCCAUCCGCGAAAAAACCUGAAAUGAUACACCAGAAACUCCCUCAAGACAGACAGAGCCAAGUCACUUUCUCGCUAAUCCCCAUUGAACCCUCCAAUUAAGCAAAGCCAUUUCAUAUUUCAACCCAAUGGCCACCACAAUUGCCGUACAAAAUUUACAAAUUAAAAUGCAAAAAGUAAUACAGAAAAAUACACAGCCCAAGCUCCAAUAGUAACAUAAACAUUCAUUUUAUAACAAUAAAGUUAAAGCCACGAAUAUUUUCAAAAAAAUUCAAUUAAGCCCUUGAAUGUUAAAAUUUCAAUCAAUUAAGCUCUUUGAUAGUUAAAGUUAACAGUUAAUUGUUAUAGUUAAAAUUUCAAUCAAUUAAGGUACGGUGUAGCGUUUGUUUACCCAUCGUUUAACCAUGUGGUUGAAGGUUCGAUCCCCACUUAUGGAAAUGAAGCACAUUUCAUAGUCAGUCAUUUACCUAUUUGGAGAGCACUUAUAGUGAGAAGAUUAACUACUGUUGUUGUUGGUGAAUUCCCUGAUUAUUACAAAUAAAAAAUAACAAUUGUCAUUUUUUUUGGAUUAUUUUUGCCACGUGCCAUGCUAAGAUUGUGCCACGUGGUAUAAAAUUAUAAAAAUCAUAUAAAAAUUAUACAAGAAUUAUAAAAAUGAAUAAAAUUAGAAAAAAUAUAUAAAAAAUCUAUUUUUAAAAGGUUAAUAAAUUUAAUAUUUUAUUAUUUUGAAAAGGAUAAUAAAUUUUUAAAAGGUUUUUUUAUUCUUAAAUUUUUAAGGGCUAUUUAAAUUUAAUUUCAAAAUAAAGCAUGCCUAAUAUAUAAAUAGACAUUUAAUUGGUGUCCAACAGGAAUGGCGUCACUCCUAUUUUUCAUCUAGUUUAAAAAUGAUAAUUAAUUCAUCAGGUGUCUGAACAUUUUUAUUUAUUCUUCAAUUCAAUGUCACAAAAAACAAUGACAACAUCCAAAAUAUUUUUUUUUUUUAAAAUGAGUCACCGACAUUUAUGGUUUAAAAUGAGUUUCAAAAUAAGUUAUUUUUAUAAAUAAUUAAAAGUUUUGGGUAUUUUUAAUAAAAAAAGCCUAAGUUUGAUGAAUGGCGUCAGCCAUUAUGUAGGUCUACUUAAUACGAAAACGACGGCUUGAUUUUGUUGGCCAAAAGGAAAGUACCUUUUGGGUUUUGCUUUGCCCAAAUGCUAGCAAAGUCUUUGCAUGCAUUUGUUUGAUUGGAAAAGUGAGAAAUAGAUGAACAUGGUAAGCACAAAUUCUAGACAUUACCAUAUCACCUAUAAAAUUUAGUUAUCUUUUUAAUUUCUUUUGGUGUAUUAUAAAAAAAAAAUUCUAAUAACACGACUUGAAUCAAAUCAUAUCUUAGUCAAGAGAUGGGGUUAUUUUAAUUUUUGUUUAUAAAAAAAAAAUCUUGUUCAUUGAGGGCCCUAGUAGGAGGUAUUGAAUAAUAACUAGAAGUCAAAUCCUGCACGCUUCCCAUUUCUGUGUAUUGAAUUGGCUGUAAUUUUCAAAGGACAUGAACCUUGAAGAGGGACAAGUGUAGUCUCUUGAUGAUAAAUGUGUUGACUGUCACCUUGCAAAACCCAGAUUACCAUAACAGAUGCAAAAUCUGAUCGGUGAAGAUAAGAAAAUGGAGACCAUGGGAAAUCUUCUAAUCCUGUUUACAGCUUCUUUAUGCCUCUAUCUUUUCGUUGCUUUGCUCAAUGUUUUCUACAAGUAUUGCUGGAUACCUCAACGGGUACAGUUCAUCAUGAAUUCACAAGGAAUCAGAGGACCUCCUUAUGAAUUUAUCCAUGGAAACAACAAAGAAGCUGCCCAAAUGCUCAUGGAAGCAUCUACCAAACCUAUGGCCUUGACACACGAUAUAUUUCCCAGAGUCAUGCCUCAUGUUUACUCCUGGAUCAACAAAUACGGUGAGAAUAUGUUUUUUUUAUCUUUUUUGGGUAGUAUUUUCUGAUUAACCUCCACUUUCCAUGAAGAGAAAUCAUUUUCUUUCAGGGAAGACUUAUCUUAGUUGGAAUGGAAUUCGAGCUCAACUGCUAAUUACAGACCCAGAUCUAGUCAAAGAGGUCCUUAAAAACAGUGACAAAGCUUUUCGAAAGCCAAAGGCUUCAUAUUUCUUCGACAAGCUACUAGGCGAUGGGCUUGCUUCAACCGAACGUGAGAAAUGGGCAAGGCAAAGGAAACUGGCCAAUUAUGCCUUUCAUGGGGAGAGCUUAAAAGUAAAUCAUCUCUACCUUCUAAUCUAAUUAUUGUAGUGCGACAUUUACAAACUUGAUCAUUUUUUGCAGAAUAUGACUCCAGCAGUAGUUGCUAGCGUUGAAACCAUGCUUGAGAAAUGGAAAAGUAAGGAGGGCAAAGAGAUAGAAGUGUUCCAAGAGUUCAGAUUAUUGACUUCAGAAGUGAUAUCCAGAACCGCCUUUGGUAGCAGUUACUUGGAAGGGGAGAAGAUUUUUGACAUGCUGAUGAAGUUGUCAGUAAUUGCAGGCAGAAAUAUUUUUAAAGCAAAGAUUCCCAUCAUCAGGUAACUUCAUCAAAUCUUUACUUUGUUAAUCAACAUACUUCAGCUUACAAUGGGUUGAUUUAAUCUGGUUGUCCUUUUCAGCAAGUUUUGGAAAUCUGCUGAUGAAAUUGAAUCAGAAAGAAUUGCCAAAAUGAUACAUGAUUCUGUGAUGAGGAUUGUUAAAAAAAGGGAAGAGAGAGUAGUGAACGGAGAAGCUGAUAACUUCGGUCGUGAUUUUCUGGGAUUACUCGUAGAUGCUUAUCAUGAGGCGGACCAGGAAAACAGGCUUUCGAUUCAAGAUAUGGUAGAUGAGUGUAAAACUUUUUAUUUUGCUGGGCAAGAAACAGUCAAUUCCUUGCUUGCAUGGGCAACUCUGCUUUUAGCAAUACACACCGAUUGGCAAGACAAAGCAAGAGCAGAGGUGAUUGAGGUCUUUGGUAAUCAAAACCCAGAUUCUGAAGGGAUGGCUAAAUUAAAGACGGUAAGCAAACUAUACAAAUUCAAUAGCUUGAAAACUAGCACUGACCAUUCAUAUUGCCUUUUGGAUUUUUUUUUCUCCGAUAGAUUACCAUGAUUAUCAAUGAAACUUUACGGCUCUAUCCUCCUAUAAGUGGCGUGAUAAGAGAAGUAGGAAGAGAAGUCCAAUUAGGAAAACUUGUCCUGCCUACUCAUUCAGAGGUCGACAUGCGAAUCAUAGCGCUUCACCAUGACCCUGACUUAUGGGGAGAUGAUGUUAAUCUUUUCAAACCAGAGAGGUUUGCUGAUGGGAUAGCGAAAGCUACUAAGUACAAUGCAGCUGCAUUUAUGCCUUUUGGAUUGGGAUCUCGAUCUUGCGUUGGCAUGAGCUUUGCAAUCACCGAAGCGAAAACUGCACUUUCCAUGAUUCUGCAACGCUACACUGUGACCGUCUCCGCUAACUAUGUUCACGCUCCUGUACUACGUCUUACACUCAAGCCGCAACAUGGGAUGCAGUUGUUGUUUCAUUCACUACAUUAGGAUGCUUAAAAUUCUAGGCUGUUGGUCUCCAAUAUAGUAAUAUAUAAUAAAAUGUGGAUGAUACUGUAUUUUGCAACCAUACUAUGAUAUAUGGUUUGGGGAUUUCAUGUUUUGGCAACAGGAUUAUAUGCUUUUUUUUUGUUGUUGAUAUUGUUAAAGGUUAAAAGGGUAUUACAGCAAACAUCGCCACCGCAGGAGCAGGCCCUACAGUCCUGUGAAUAACAUAAUUUGGUGUCUUUCUUCCAUUACUACUGCAGUAGUGAAGUUUUUAUUCCACUUGGUUCCCUUCUUCCAGAGUUUCUGCUUGAAACACUCACUCCUGGAGCCGGCCAUUACAUUACUUGUUUAGCUCUCAUGGAGGGCUCCAAGCUCAUUAGACCAGAAACAUUGUUCCUUUGCCUAUGUAUCUUUUUGACAUAUUCUCUUAAGGAAGAGCUACUUAUAUCAAGGCUCCAUCUUUCUGAGUUGCAGGGCAAAAGUCCGUUCUCCAUGAAAAACUACCCAUUUCCACUAAAGCACACUAGCUUUCGCCAUCCCAUCCGCCAAAAAACCUGAAAUGAUACACCAGAAACUCCCUCAAGACAGACAGAGCCAAGUCACUUUCUCGCUGAUCCCCAUUGAACCCUCCAAUUAAGCAAAGCCAUUUCAUAUUUCAAGCCAAUGGCCACCACAAUUGCCGUACAAAAUUUAGAAAUUAAAAUGCAAAAAGUAAUACAAAAAAAUACACAGCCCAAGCUCCAAAAUGCAAGAAAGUACAUUUAAAAUAUGAGCCAAAUUUAGAUUUCAAUUUAAAAAUUUGAAUUUAAUUCGUUUUUAAAUUUGUAAUAUAGUAUAUUCAUUAUAAGAAAAAUAUGAAUUGUCAACCUUUAAAUUUAUUGUUAAAUGUUGUACUACCAUUAAAAAAAUUUUAUUGUAACAGCAAAAAAAUCGUUGUGAGGUCAUUGUGUAUACCUCCAUUGUAUAAAAUAUGCACAACGAUUUUACAAAUUGAAAAAUCGUUUUAAUUAUAUACAUCGCAACAACUUUUUUCGUUUUAAAAUAUAUAUUUUUUGUAACAACUUAAUUUAUUUGUCUAAAAAUGUUUUAGUUAUAAUAAAAUUUGUUAUAAUAUUUUUAACACAACCAUAAUACUUUAGUUACAAAAAACUAUUAUGUAACAAUAAUAUAUUGGUUGUAAUAUAAAAUUUGCAACAACUGUAAAUUAAAAUGCUAAGUUUUGUACGUAACAAUAAUAAUACUGAUAUGUCAUUGUAUUACAUUACUCAAUGAUUAUAUGUCAUUGCCAAAAAAAUAUUUUAAUAACCAUAAAAUGUGGUUGCCAAAUCAUUUACUUAAGAAUAAUACUACUGAUUACUAAAUAUUAUUCUGCAACUAUUUUAAUUUGUUGUGUACUACAUUGCGCAACAACAAUGUUAUUUUUAAUCAAAUGGCUAUAUAUAAUUUAAUAAAAUUAAAAAAAAAGUUUCUUCAUCCUCUAACUUAAUAAAAUAAAAUAAAAAAUUCAUGUUAGAUUGAAUUGAUCUUGAGGUUAUAUAUAGUCAUUGGCCAUGUCAAAGAGAAUAGCUCUACCAAAAUAAAAAAUUUAUUUUUUAUUAAAAAAUUUUUUUAAAAAAAAUUAAUUGCAGCAUAGUAACCGUCAUUCUCUAUGACUCUAUCAAAUAAAAUAAUAAUUUUAAUUUCAAAUUAAAAAUAAAAAUCACUUUAAAAAAUUUGACAUAAUAAAAGUGGUGUGACCAAUUUAUUUGGCUCCUGAAAUAUUAUUAUUUAUUUUCUAGUUCCCAAAAUAUUUAAAAAUAUUGGUGUCAGAGUGGUAUUUAUACGGGUGAAGCCAAAUAAAUUAACUUUACCUACAAAAAUUAAUUUUUGUUAUAAAAUAAAGAGAUGGAGAGAAUGAAGAACAAAUAAAAUAUGAAAGCAAUAGAGAAUGUACUUUAUUGAUCAAAGGGAUGAUUACAAUGUUUCAUCAGAGUCUCUAUUUAUAGGCAUAAGAAGUAUAAAAGAAGUAGAGAUCUAAUUCUAAUAACUAUUAGAAUUUAAAGUAUAUCAAAACUUUAUCUUGAUCAUGAUGGACAUCCACUAAAUAAGAUAUUUAUAACACUCCCCCUUAGAUGUCCAUUGGUGGAUAAUUUGCCUCGUUAAAACUUUAUUAGGAAAAAUCUUGUGGGAUAAAAACCCAAUGAAGGAAAAAGAGUACACAAUCUUCUAUUACAAGUUGUCUCAUUAAAAAUCUUUACGAGGAAAACCCAAUGGGACAAUACAUUGGUUAAAGGAAAGGAGUACAACUUAUUUUAGACUCCCCCUAAUGGCAACAUUACAUUACAUCUUUGAGUUGACGCAUUCUAAUCUUGUGUAGUAGUCUUUGAAAUGUUGAAGUUGGCAAUGCCUUAGUAAAAACAUAUGCUAAAUUAUCACUAGAAUGAAUUUGUUGAACAUUUAUAUCACCUCUUUUCUCAAGAUCAUGGGUGAAGAAUAAUUUUGGCGAAAUAUGUUUCGUUCUAUCACCUUUGAUGUAACCACUCUUCAAUUGAGCCAUACAUGUUGCAUUAUCUUCAUAUAAGAUAGUUGGCAUCUUUUCCUAUAAAGGCAAAUUACAUAUCUUCUGGAUAUGUUGGGUCAAUAACCUUAGUCAAACACACUCUCGACUUGCCUCAUUCAUUGCAAUUAUUUCUAAAUGAUUUGAAGAAGCAACAGCUAAUGUUUGCUUUGUCAAACGUCAUGAUAUGGUAGUAGUCUUUGAAAUGUUGAAGUUGGCAAUGCCUUAGUAAAAACAUAUGCUAAAUUAUCACUAGAAUGAAUUUGUUGAACAUUUAUAUCACCUCUUUUCUCAAGAUCAUGGGUGAAGAAUAAUUUUGGCGAAAUAUGUUUCGUUCUAUCACCUUUGAUGUAACCACUCUUCAAUUGAGCUAUACAUGUUGCAUUAUCUUCAUAUAAGAUAGUUGGCAUCUUUUCCUAUAAAGGCAAAUUACAUAUCUUCUGGAUAUGUUGGGUCAAUAACCUUAGUCAAACACACUCUCGACUUGCCUCAUUCAUUGCAAUUAUUUCUAAAUGAUUUGAAGAAGCAACAGCUAAUGUUUGCUUUGUAUCUACAUAUAAAUACUAUUGUGACAUUUACUACUGGAAAUGUCUAAAUCUAUGUGAAGUCUAUAAUGCCACUAAGUCAAUAAAUAAAUAUAAUUUUCAAAUAAUUAUAUAUAAUAUUCGCUUUAGGGAAUAUGUUAAAAUCUUCAAAUAUAAGGCAUUUGGUCUAGUGGUAUGAUUCUAGCUUAGAGUGCGAGAGGUCCCGAGUUCGAUUCAAAAUAUAAAUAACUCAAUCCUCUUUUGAUUCAUAUCAAAUAUAAUCUUUUCCUCAUUCACAAUCUCAACAUGAGAUCCAUUAUGAAUAUAUUUUAAAACUAAUGCAUUAACCAUCACAAACUUUGUGCUUUUUAGAUAUUGAUAUAUUAGCUCUUCUAGAGCUUUUAACUAACUUUUUACUAUCAAAUAUUGGAAUAUAUUUGUUUAUUUCAGUACCAAAUAAGAUAAAUAUUUUCUAUUUGUAAUAAUAAAUUUUAUUACUACAUUCUCAUAUCCUUCCUUAAAGGAUAUUAUCAGAGACAAAAUAUUUGGGCAUACACCACAUAUGUGACCAGUAAUCUUUCAUAUCACAUUGGUAAUAUAAGUUAUAUUUACCCUUUGAAAAGUUAUCUUGAGAACUCUCAUUGUUCUCUUAUUUAUUACUAUGUUCCCACUUUUAGUGGUUCAUGAGUAUAUCUUUUAUUUUCUUUAUGUUUACAUUCACUUCGGGGAAUGCAACAAAUCUAGUAGGAUGGACUUAUAAACAUCCCAAUAGAUUCUUUAUUUCAUAAUCACCAUCGCAAACAUGUGUGAGAUUUCAAAUCAAAAUUUAUCUAUUCAUAUUGUCAUGAUUAGUCUCUAAUUAUAAUAAACAUGAUAUAAUAAAUAAAACAUAAUAAAAUAUACCUGAAGAUCUUUAACAUCGUCAUCAUAUUGACUAUUAUCACGAGCACUAUUACAAGUAGUAAAACAACUUUAUUUUCGUAAUAACAUUCACAAUCUAAUAGUAAAAAUCAUUUAAUAAAUAAUUAAAAUUUUCAUGUACGAUGCUUGAAAAUUAUCUGAUACACAUUGUAUCAAAUUUCGAUACCACAUAUAUGUUAUAAAAUCUUAUCUUGCUCUAAUAAAAUAUUUAUAAGUUCAAUUUAAAAAAUAUCAUACAAUUAUUCAAUAUUAGAAAGUUAAUAAGACUAAAUAGAUCCUAUCAAAUUUCCUUUCACUCAACAAUGGUAGCUUAAUAAGACUUUCCACCAUAAUUUUAAUAAAAUUUCAAGAAUAAAUAACAAGAAAAAAAAUUUAAACACAAAAAUAUUAUGCAUAAUAUAAUUUAAUUAAAAAAUAGAAAAAAUAACAUACCAUAUUAAUAGCAAACAUAUCUAAUCAAUAAUUAUGUCUUUUAAAUAAUAAAACUUUACCCCAAAAAGCCAAAAAUCAAAUACUAUCAGAAUGUGAAAUUUAUGUCAAAUAAAAAUUAAUAGUAGUUAUACCUUAAUCGAAAAAGAAAAUAUGGUCGAAAUAUAAAAGUUUCUUACCAAAUCUACACUUUACCCAUACUUGUACAAUAAACCAAAGAUCGAGAAUAAGAAUCACAAUCCAUUCUGAGAUUGAAUCUUUCAACAUCAUGAAGAUGAAGUUGUAAGGGAGAAAGUUUAAGGUGAAAAAGAAUUUGAUUUAUGGGACAACUUCGAAAGAUUUUGAAAAAAAUAGAAAAUAAUCGUGCUGAUAACGUGGUAUAAAAUAAAGAGAGAUGGAGAGAAUAAAGAAAACAUGAAAGCAAUAAAAAAUGUAUUUUAUUGAUCAAAGAGAUUAUUACGAUGUUUUAUCAUAGUCUAUUUAUAAGCAUAAGAAAUAUAAAAAAAGUAAAGAUCUAAUUCUAAUAACUAUUAAAAUUUAAAAUAUAAAACGACGUUGUUCUGAUAAAUAUUUAGAUUUUCUAGAGUUGAAGCCAAAAACCAUUAAGUUAAAAAACAAAACAAUUAUAUUGUUUUUGUAGUUAUAAUCUUGUAUUUCCUCUACUAGUUAAAUAAUCAGUCCAUAUAAAUGUAACAUUGAGUAUAAAUAAUAGGAUUUGUUAACUCGAAUGGACUUGACUCGAAAUUUUUUAACACCAUUCGAUUUGAAAAAUUUUCAAAUUGAGUUCGAUUGCUAAAAUAGAAUUCAUUAAUUCGACUAACUCGAAUUUUUUUUACUCGAUCGAAUAAUCACCCCUAUUUCUAAACUAUAACAGUUAAUGGAAACUCGUUAAGUCAUAAAAAAUUCAAGUAAAUGUUUUAAACUUGAGUUUUAUGAAUACAAAAAAUAAUUUUAAAAGCUAUUUUAAAAUAUAAAAUUUAUUUGGUAUAAAUUAAAAUUAAAUACAAAAUAUAAUUAGAUUGUUUGAUAAAAUAUAAUUUUGUAAAAAUUUAAAGGUGGGGUAUUUGAAGAAUUUAAAAGAGAUGAAAUAAAAAUAAUUGAAACAAAUUCUACAUUAAGAUAUAAAUAGUUAUUUAUCUACUUUUCAUUUUCCACAUCUUUUCUUAGAAAAAUCCAAUCAUUUGUUUUUUUUAUUAUGAAUCAUCAAACUUGCUUAAAAACAUAAAUUAUUAGUUGAUUUAAUUAUUUUUAAUUGAUUAUCAAACAAGCCCUUGUUUCAAGUGCCAUUUAUGUCAAAAAAGUUUUAAGUAAUAGUACCAUAAACAUUCAUUUUAUAACAAUAAAGUUAAAGCCACGAAUAUUUUUUAAAAAAAUUCAAUUAAGCCCUUGAAUGUUAAAAUUUCAAUCAAUUAAACUCUUUGAUAGUUAAAGUUAACAGUUAAUUGUUUUAAUCAAUUAAGGCAUGGUGUAGUGUUUGUUUACCUCAUUCUUUAACAAUGUGGUUGAGGGUUCGAUCCCCACUUAUGGGAAUGAAGCACAUUUCAUGGUCAAUCAUUUACCUAUUUGGAGAGCACUCAUAGUGAGAAGAUUAACUACUGUUAUAGUUGGUGGAUACCCUGAUUAUGACAAAUAAAAAAUAACAACUACCAUUUUUUUUGGAUUAUUUUUGUCAAGUGGUGAAAAAUAUUUUAAUUUUUAUUAAAAAUCAUAUAAAAAGUAUAAAAAUUAUACAAGAAUUAUAAAAAUGCAUAAAUUAGAAAAAAUAUAUAAAAAAAUCUAUUGUGAAAACAUAAAAUUAUAAAAAUAUAAUUGCUCCCCCAAAUUCCAUGUUUCCUCUAACUCGUCUAACUGGAUUCUCCCUUAGAAUCAACUUAUUUGGAUUGUGAAAAUCUCCAUCCGAUAUUGAGCAAUUUGCACAAAUGGUUGGUAACAUUUUAUAAAAUUAUUUUUUUGUAAAAAAAAAGUGCAAAGAAAACCCAAUUAUAUGGAAUUGGUUUAUUUUCUAUGCAUGUGGAUCACCAAUUGAACAAGCAUAGACGACAAGGUGGACUCGUGAAAAGAAAACAUUUGUUGCAUCAUUGUUGUUUCCAUAUUCUCGCCUACCCAAAGCAGAAAUAAAGGGUGAAUUUGGCAUAUUAGCACCAUUUCUACCUCCUUUCUCCCUCUAUAUAAACCUCUUCCCACCCAAGCUGCCAUUGCCAAAACCCAUCAACUUCACCUCUAUUCUUCUUACUUGAGACCUAUAUUUAGUCUUGAAAUUUAACUGUGAAAAUGGGUUUCGCAUUUGCAUAUCGACUUAUCUUAGUCGUGGCAGUUGCUUCCGUGUUGGGAAUAAGCCUGGCAAAUAAAGACUGGGGCUCCCCUAAUUCCAACUACACUGGUUGGGGCUGGGGCUCCUCGAAGUCUAACCACACUGGUCAAGGCUUUAAUAACCAUCCCGUGAAUGAAACUCAAGGACCCAAAAAGAUAAUUGUUGGUGGAUCAAAAAACUGGCAUUUCGGCUUCAACUACUCCGAUUGGGCAUUCAACAAUGCACCAUUUUACUUCAACGAUACUCUAGGUGAGUCCAUAAUAUUACAUUUUACAAACCAAAGAAAUGGGAAGCUUCGAAAGAUUUUGAAAAAAAUAGAAAAUCAUCGUGUUGAUAACGUGUUAUAAAAUAAAGAGAGAUUGAGAGAAUAAAAAAUAAAGAAAACAUGAAAACAAUAAAAAAUAUACUUUAUUGAUCAAAGAGAUUAUUACAAUGUUUUAUCAUAUUUUAUUUAUAAGCAUAAGAAGUAUAAAAAAGAUUGAGAUCUAAUUCUAAUAACUAUUAAAAUUUAAAAUACAUAAAAGUUUUAUCUUAAGCAUGAUCAACAUCCACUUAACUUAAUAAGAUAUUUAUAAUAAUUUUUAAUUUCUAUAGGCGAAUUAUUAAGUAACGGGACAAGUAGAUGGCGAAAUUAAUAAAAAAAAUUCUGAAUUAUUUUUGUAAAAAAGCGGCAAAACCCAUAUUACCAUAACAGAUGCAAAAUCUGAUCGGUGAAGUUAAGAAAAUGGAGACCAUGGGAAAUCUUCUAAUCCUUUUUCCAGCUUCUUUAUGCCUCUUCCUUUUCGUUGCUUUGCUCAAUGUUUUCUACAAGUAUUGGUGGAUACCUCAUCGUUUACAGUUCAUCAUGAAUUCACAAGGAAUCAGAGGACCUCCUUAUGAAUUUAUCCAUGGAAACAACAAAGAAGCUGCCCAAAUGCUCAUGGAAGCAUCUACCAAACCUAUGGCCUUGACACAAGAUAUAUUUCCCGAGUCAUGCCUCAUGUUUACUCCUGGAUCAACAAAUACGGUGAGAAUAUGUUUUUUUUUUUCUCUUUUUAGGGUUGCAUUUUCUGAUUAACCUCCACUUUUCAAGAAAAGAAAUCAUUUUCUUUCAGGGAGGACUUAUCUUAGCUGGAAUGGAAUUCGAGCUCUACUGCUAAUUACAGACCCAGAUCUGGUGAACGAGGUCCUUAAAAACAGUGAAAAGGCUUUUCCAAAGCCGAAGGCU
rnacentral:lncRNA from 1 species